UUUUUCUUGUCUUCUUUUUCUUUUUUAUCUUUUCUACCCAUCACUUUUUUUUUUUGAUUUUGAUUUUUACAAAAAUCGUCGUCCGCCAAGAGAGAGGGAAAACACACAAAAAAAAAG
rnacentral:ribozyme from 13 species